CUCGCGCUGGCCCGCAAGCGCCGCGCGCAGCCCCGAUUCCCGCCCGCGCCUCUCCCUCCACACCUCCCUGCAAGCUGAGGGAGCCGGCUCCGGCCUUGGCCAGCCCAGAAAGGGGCUCCUACAGUGCAGCGGCGGGCUGAAGAGCUCCUCAAGCACGGCCAGAGUGGGCGCUAAGGCCGAGGAGGCCCCGAGAGCGAGCGAGGGCUGUGAGCGCUGCCAGCAUGCUGUCACCUCUCAAUAGUAAGUUCUGGAAGCUGAGAAGUCCGAAAUCAAGGUACCAGCAGGGUCCGGUCUGCUGAGGGCUGCUCUCUGCUGUGCCCUCCAGAGAGAACAAAUGCUGUGUCCUCCAGGAGGAAGACCUGGCUCUCUGUGAAGACAUGGCUUGGAUUUAAUUGGGUUGUAAUGCACACAAAGUAAUCAAGUCAAAUCCACAAAUGGCCGUUGAGGACAACUAUUACAAGGAAAUAAGCUUGACAAAAUGCCCCUUUACUAAUUUCUGGCCUGAAAUCUACAGACCUUGCACCCCAGUUGAUAAAUAGCAGAAUUGGAAUUUAAACAGGCCUGGUGACCCAAAAACUUGACUCUAUAUCUUACCCUGAAGAAAUAUGCAAGUGAUAUCAAGCCUGAUAUUGAAACUUUAGUCCACUUCAUCAGACUUUGGAAAAAAACGUGACACUCAACAUAGCAGGUGCCCUAGACAAUGACGGAAUCUCGUUGAAAGCUCUUUAAGCUGAAAUUAAUUUAUGCUCGACAGUGAUUAAAAGAGAAAGUGAGAAGGGGAUGGAAAUUAACAAAUCCAUCUUUAUUGCUGAGAUCCCAUUAUGAUUAUAAGGAGAGAGAAAAAUCAACGUGGCGGGUGCCAGCUGCAAUCUGAUGACCUUUCAUCUUAUUUCUCAUCUGCUGGUCCCAUCAACCCUAACUUUGUAUCUGCUAAAACUCAGGAUGUGAUAGGUUAUAUUGGGCAACAAUGACAACAAUUCAGUGGGCUAAAGAAAAAGUUUAAUUUCUGCUGAUAUUGCAUAUCCAACAAGGACUGGAAGAGGGAAUCUUCACUUUGGACCCUAAAAGGUCCAGCCUGAUUUUGAAAUUUGAAGACAAAUUGAUAGGUGGAAACACGAUUCAAGAGAAGGUGAACACACCAUUGUUACUACAGACAGAAGAUGGAUUGAGGGAAGAGUGGCUUAUUUAAUUGGUGAAUUUUAGAGAAGAAAUUGAGAAUGUCUGCUACUUUUCAUCCCUCCUGAAACUACUACUAUUUUUAGAGGUGCCUAACAUGUUGACCUGCUCUUUGGUAGGUGGUAAACUUGCCUUGCAAACUCUUCUGCAAGAAAGGCUUGGGAUCUUUCAGUUUAGUUUAUAACUGACUAGAUUUAUCAGUCCAGAUUGGCUAGGUUAUGCUGGGUAACAAACAACACCAACAUUCUAGUAGAUUUUAAAUAAAGGUUUAACUUCUGCUUCUGCUUAUACUGCUUGUCCAACAAGUGUGAGUAGAGACACAGCCUGAUGGAGACUUAAUCUUAACAUUCUCAACUAUGAUUACCAAAGCAGAAAAAUAAAACACAUUAAAUCACAUGCUGGCUUAUGAAAGCCUCCAUCUUUAAGUGACAUGUGCACUCUCGUUCAUAGUUCAUUGGCCAAAGAAAGUCACCUGGCAUGCCUAAUUUCAAAGUGGUAAAAAAAUGCAAUUCUUCCAUGUGCCUAGAUGAAUGAACUACAGCACAUAUGUGGUGAAUAGCAUGGUGAGUGUCACAGUGAAUCAGUGUAAAAUAUACAACUCAGUGGUUUUUAGCAUAUUUGCAGAGCUGUGCCACCAUAAUCACAGUCAAUUUUAGAAUAUUUUUAUCACCCCCAAAAGAAACCCAUACCCAUUAAUUGUCAUUGUCUACACUUUUGAUUUAAUGAAAACUAAUCAGAUAAAAAAAGAAAACAUUAUUUUAUUUAUAAAACACAUUUGAUUUUACAAACAAUAACAUAUGCAUUAGGAAAGAGGAAACAUUUAGUUCCUUUGAGCUAUAGAAACGACUUCUAGGUCUUCAAGAAAGAGUUGGGCAUGAGGGGAUAUGUUCUCCUUUGUGCCUGAUUUUCCCAUGGAUUAGAGGUUUGCUGACAUUGUGUCUUUUGGCUCUUCCAAGAGCUACUGCUUUCUCCUAAAACAGAAUUUUGUAUUCAAGUCUUGCUUCUAAUCUUCCAUGUUCUUAUUUUUUUUCUCUUCAUCACAUUGCAAUAUUAAAGAAUUAGCAUGACAGUUUAAAUGCAUUUACACAAUACCUAAUGGUAAAAUGAAUGUUAUUAUCAUUGUCCUAUAUAUGUGCAAUUACCUGUAUUUAUACAAAGUUUCAUCACAAAAGUUGGCUUAUUUUAACUUCAUAGUAAGUUGUAAGAUACCUAUAAUUAUCUAAAUUUUACAAAUGAGAAAAUAACACUCAAUGCUAGAGGUAGAACCUAAACUCAGAUCUACUAAUUCCAUGCCCGGGGAUCUUCCCUGUAAUGAUUUUAGAAUAUCACUUCUUAUGGAAUUACAAAAGAAACAGGCAAGACUUUUAUAAUCAGUAGUUUCCAUCUGUAUCCCAAAGAUAAAUUGACUCAACAUAUUCAAUACUUAUUUAUUAGUUCCAAAGUGAUUGACAGCUGGGGCUCACAGAUCCUUUGGCUCUGAAAUAUGGAGGGAAAACCUGAGUAGAGAAAAAAAAAUGUGAUCAAAGCAGAACCAGGGAUCACCACAAACUUCAGAUCGAGGCACAUAAAUGAGAUAUCAGUGAGAAUGUCAAGGCAGUUGGGUCGGGCACUAGGAAAGCAUAGAUGCAAAAGAGAAAAUGGAGUUAAGGAAUCACAAUAUGUCAGAAAUAUGGUCAGAAUUAAAUCCAUUUUCCUGAAACCAUAGAAUAGAACAAGGCAGAAAAGGUGAGGCAUAAGACACCAAGGAGAAAACAAUUCUGAGACAAACUCCAGAAGCACGGUAUCAGUUGGGCAAUUAGC
rnacentral:lncRNA from 10 species